AGUAUCAUUUGGUUUGUAGAGCAUAUUGUUAGUCAAAAUGAAAAUAAUUGCUCUAUUGACGUUUCUCUGUGUCUUAAUAGCCAUAGUAAAUUCCUACCCGGGUCGUAUUGAAGAUAAUGAGGAUGAUUUACAUGAUUCGGUGGAUCUUGAUGGGCUAGUGGAAAAAAAUAAAUUACCAGAAAGAGUUGUUAGAAGUCUUUGUGAUCCUUAUUUCUGCAGUUUAAAUUGCCUAAGGAAAAGAAAAAACUUUGUAAGCUGUAAUGGAUCUAAAUGCAUCUGCGAAGGUUCAAUACAUUGAGCGAUAUCCCUUGUUGAAUGUAUUUGAAAAAUAAUUUUCAUGUUCUUUUUGUGUGUUAUAUUUUUUUUGAGUAAAGAUUCAUUUCGUGUU